UAUAGUGAAACCUAUAGAUUUAUAACAUGUUUUUUGUAUAUAUAAAAUUAGAAAAAUUAGUGAUGAUGGGUGAAAACUGGAGUUUAAUUGUGGCAGAGAAGAUUCCCUGCAGCUCUUUGUUUCCUCUUUGUCAUCAAUAAUUGAUAUAUACUUGAUCUUGUUUGCACUUUUGUUUUUUGGCCCCCUCUCCUAUUUCAUACAUUUCUGUGGAAAUAAUUAAAAGGCUUCAUUUUGUCACCUACUGCAAAAAAAAUAAAUUUUCAAUUCUAACAAUUAUUUAUCUCACAGUGAAAAACUCACGUAACACACUGAAACCCACGUAACUAUAUGCAGAGGAGACGUUAAUGCUCCCUUACAUUCUCAACUGGCACUGCAACUACACAAUCAUGACUCUUAUUUACUCAAUCUACCUCUUAUAUACUUGCAUUGCUUCACAAAAUUCAUUGUAUAAAGUUAUGAUUAUUUUUUCAAUUAAUUGGCAACUAUAAUGAUUGCUUCAUGCAUAAUCUUUUGAGAUGAGUUUAGACAAUUAUAACUUGUAAGUGUUGUAGUGUAUUAAUGCGUGAUGUAUAUUUGGCUAGCAAAAAUUCGUUAAAAACUUUUAUCUUCUCUCAUACUUUACUCUCUCUUCCUCUCACUUAUUGUUAAAUGACUUGCUCUUGAUAACUUUCAGUUCCUACUUGUACCAAUAUAUCUUGAUUACUACAUCAUUUAUUUCACGGCAUUAUGGACUUGUGUGCAGAUUUCUGUUUUUGCAAUAUUUCAUAUCAGUUGCUAACUACAGUACUUUAAUCUUUGCUUCUUUGUUUGAGUUUUCAAAAUGAACAACUUGAGUCGAGUCCAUUAAUAAUCUGUGCUUUAUCAUUCAUCUCGUCUGCAUUCAGUUUUAUUUUCUUAUAGUUUUCUAUAUUAUUUCAAGAGUUAUUGUUAAGAUUAAAUGUUGUACAAUUAUAUAUAUUUCUAUGUUUUUAUUUUUUAAAUGAUUCAAUGACAUAUGUUUAAUAUGUCUGUACAUUUUCACCUUUUCUUGGUGCAGAAAAUGAGUUGGAAGUAAUAGUUUAAGUUUCUUCCAUUCCGUUAAAGUGGUACUUUUGAUAGAUAUAUAUGUCUUUGCUGACUAUAAAGAUAUGGUUUGAAAUUUUAAUUGUCUAUCUUUUGUCCAUUUAUUUUGUACUCAGAGGCAGCAUUUUGAUUGAUUGAAUAAUGAAUUAUUGUUGUUGAUUUUCUGUCACUAAGCUAAUUAAUUAUUUACGUAUAAUCAUAUCUUCUCUCGUGAAGAUAUUAGGUCCCUUAAUUUGUUGCUCACAGUACAUGUGUAAUUCUUGAAUAGUUAGCUGCGUUAUCCGUCGAUUCUCUACUUUUUUUUACUAGUAAUAACUUUGUAGAUAGUUCAUAGAUCCUUAAGAAAAAAAUUUUGUAGUCAUUUUUGUCUCAAUUUGUUGUUUUCAAAAUUUCGAAAACUACAUAUGUAGAUGUAGUAUGGUCCAUCACAACCAAAUACUAAUAUAUAGAUAUAAUUUUUGUGAGGCUUAAUUUGGUGAAUGACUACAAGUUGGAUGGAUGAGUAGGUGUGACAAUGACUCUAUGCUAUCGUUCCAAACCCAUUCGGCCGGAAUUAUUGGCUCUCCGUCGGCAUAAUCCCACGUCAUAUUUCACCGUUCUAUCUCAAAUUAAUUUGCCACUUUUUAUUACACUUGUCAAUUUAAUUAUAUGUGUGAAAACUAGCCAAGCUAAUAGUCUAUCAAGUUGUAUGCACGGAAUAAUUAAAUUAUACUAUUAAAUUGAUCAUAGGUUGUAUGCAUUCAUAAUACCAAUAGAUCAAAGAGAAUUUAGAUGUUUACAAGCUGUCAAAAUAUGUUUUAUUGCUCACUUUAUGUAAGAAAGAAGUGAAAUUGGAGAGCUCUAUGGCUUUAUUUGGUGGUUUCCUUGCUAGGCUACAUGGUUUCAGCUGUUUCUUUCUUCAGAAAGAUUAGGUGGUUUAUAUUGCUUGUACUGCCUAUUUGAUUGAGACACAGCUGUUUAAGCCACCUUACAAAAUUUAUUCGUCUUUAGGUCAGUAUUUCACUUGCUUCUAGCCAAGCCUUUUGGGUUAUGCUUGAAUAUUUGUGCUUACAUUGCAUGACAGUUGUUAGAUUUUUUCGUUUUAUAAGUUUCUUCCCUGCUCUGAAGAAUAUUUAUGGCUGAACCAUCAGUAACUUUGAAAUAAGUACUAGUAUAAUACUAUUUUAGUUCAAUUAAUUACUCCAUUGCCUUCUUACUGUUAGUGUAUAUCUAACGGCCCUUUCAAAAGCACAAGCAUAGAUGAAAUGCAACUACAUAUUGUUGAGAUCUUAGAAGUAGUGAGCACAUUUUGCUAGUUGUGGGAAUGUUUGUGUUAACUGAGACUGGAUGACUUCCACAUAGCUACAUUUGAUGUGUUUAUGAUCUAUAUAUUGAUAUGUUUGGCGUCUUUCAACUAUUUAUGCUCACAUUUGUUAAUUUCUUAGUUAGCAAAGGUAUAGAUUUUAGUAAAAAUUGAUUAUGGAAGGAUCUUUGAGCGUUGCUGGCAAUUUAGUUUGAGGGUUUCAAAAACUUUCAAAGAAAUUAACAUACGCAUCUCAACAACUUUACUCGUGAUUUUUUUAAUUUUUUCUUGUUUUCUUCGCAUAUUGGAUUUUGUUUGAGAGUUUAGUCAAGGUACACCCGGUUCAUGAUGGGCAGCCGGAGUAGGCAAAAAUGAUGAAGAAAUUGAGGGCUGGUAUGAUGACGAAGAACAUGGCCCACAGGUAGACGUAUGUGAGGAAGGUGUUGCGGUAGCAGGCACAGACAAUUCCCUCCAGCAACACCACCAUGACAGCGAUGCGGAUCAGGACGAGCCAUACGCCACCGCCUAUGAUCGGAGGAAACUCGGAAUGUUGAUGAGUCUGAUUAGGUUGUUGUUGUCCUUUCCUAUUAUUUUCUUUUCAUUUUUUUAGCAAGUUUAGUUUAUGAAUGAAUAAGGUAUAUGGUUAAGUAGGCCAAUAAUAUAUUGCAGUUAUUGCACUAAAAA